rnacentral:rRNA from 1 species
UACGGAGGGGGCUAGCGUUGUUCGGAAUUACUGGGCGUAAAGGGCGCGUAGGCGGCGCGAUAAGUUGGGCGUGAAAGGCCCGGGCUCAACCCGGGGACUGCGCUUGAUACUGUCGCGCUGUGAGUCCGGGAGAGGAUGGCGGAAUUCCCAGUGUAGAGGUGAAAUUCGUAGAUAUUGGGAAGAACACCGGUGGCGAAGGCGGCCAUCUGGACCGGCACUGACGCUGAGACGCGAAAGCGUGGGGAGCGAACAGG